GGUGCAGUGGCCAGUUGGUAAAGCGUUGGUGCGGUAAACCAAAGACCGUGGGUUUGAACCCUGUCCGUGCCU
rnacentral:tRNA from 1 species